rnacentral:lncRNA from 1 species
CUACAUAGGUCCCAUCAAGUCCAUGUGGAGAAGUUCCAUCACUUUAGAUGUGGUGUCAUGUUUGAUCUUCUGAUGUGACAUCUUUGUCUGCUUUCCAAUCUGACAUUCACCACAUACUCUUCCUUCUUCAAUCUUUAAUUUUGACACAAAGGCUAUGCUUUUGACUUUCUUUUCAGAUCCAUCACUCAUUCCCAACUCAAAUGUUUGGAGGGAUC